rnacentral:rRNA from 1 species
UCGAGAGGCUUCGGCAAUGGGGGAAACCCUGACCGAGCGACGCCGCGUGAGGGAUGAAGGCCCUUGGGUUGUAAACCUCUUUUGUUCGGGAAGAAGUGCGAUCAGGUGAAUAAUCUGGUCGUUUGACGGUACCGGACGAAUAAGCUCCGGCUAACUCCGUGCCAGCAGCCGCGGUAACACGGGGGGAGCAAGCGUUGUUCGGAAUCACUGGGCGUAAAGGGCGUCUAGGCGGUUGGAUAAGUGGGAUGUGAAAUGCCCCGGCUCACCCGGGGACCGGCAUCCCAAACUGUUCGACUUGAGUAUGGGAGAGGAUGUGGGAAUUCCUGGUGUAGCGGUGAAAUGCGUAGAUAUCAGGAGGAACACCGGUGGCGAAGGCGCACAUCUGGCCCAAUACUGACGCUGAAGCGCGAAAGCUAGGGGAGCAAACGGGAUUAGAUACCCCCGUAGUCC